UAGGGCUAAAGUUGUGGGUGGUGAAGUGAGAAUAACCAGUUCGUAUGAUGCUACGAAGCUUUGGUUCAAUGAGGAUUUUGAAGAAUUUCAAGAGUUUAAGUCAAAGUUGAAAGCUGAGGGUACUCCAAUGAGAAGUCUUAGUACUGGCACACUACAUUCAAACUCUACAGGCAUUAGUGAGUUUAAUAAUGCUUCUGUUAUUGUAACUAACUGCCAU